UACGAAGGGGGCUAGCGUUGCUCGGAAUCACUGGGCGUAAAGGGUGCGUAGGCGGGGCUUUAAGUCAGGGGGGAAAUCCUGGAGCUCAACUCCAGAACUGCCUUUGAUACUGAGGAUCUUGAGUUCGGGAGAGGUGAGUGGAACUGCGAGUGUAGAGGUGAAAUUCGUAGAUAUUCGCAAGAACACCAGUGGCGAAGGCGGCUCACUGGCCCGGUACUGACGCUGAGGUGCGAAAGCGUGGGGAGCAAACAGG
rnacentral:rRNA from 1 species